rnacentral:rRNA from 1 species
UGUAAGUAGAGCGUUAUAGAGCGAAACUGCGAACGGCUCAUUACAACAGAUAUAAUCUACUUGUUCUGUGACUUAAAUGGAUAACUGCGGUAAUUCUGGAGCCAAUACAUGCGUGAAGCUGCGGCCUUCGGGUCGCAGUGCUAUUAUUGGAGCAAAACUAUUCGUUAGUCCUUUUGCUAACUCUGGAUAAUACUGCGUAUCGCACGAUCUUGUGUCGGCGAAGUUUCAUUCGAGUAUCUGCCCUAUCAACUGGUUGGCAGUGUAUUGGACUGCCAUGGUUCUAACGGGUAACGGAGAAUCAGGGUUUGACUCCGGAGAAUCCGCCUUAAAAACGGCGAAUAUGUCUAAGGAUAGCAGCAGGCGCGAAAAUUACCCAAUAUCAAUACGAUGAGGUAGUGACGAGAAAUAACGAGUCCGUUCUCUCUGAGGUCGGACAUUGGAAUGGGUACAAUGUAGACAAUUUAACGAGUAUCUACGAGAGGGCAAGUCUGGUGCCAGCAGCCGCGGUAAUUCCAGCUCUCGUAAUACAUAGAAUUAUUGUUGCGGUUAAAAAGUUCAUAGUUGAAUUGUCGAACCGUGCGGGGUGCGUCCUAGCGGGCGUCACCCGCGUGCGGUAUUUUGCGCGUUUUCGGGCCUUCGGGUCGGUGAUGCGCAGGAUUACUUUGAACGGCUUAAGUGCUCAAGGCGGGUCUUACGACUGAAUACCGGUGCAUGGAAUAAUGGAACAAGGUUGCGGCCGAGUUUUAUUGGUUUUGUCGGCUGAAACAAUGGUUAACAGGAACAGCCGGGGGCAUUCGUAUCGCUGCGCGAGAGGUGAAAUUCGAGGACCGUAGCGAGACGCACUAAAG